rnacentral:lncRNA from 1 species
UUAAAAUUGGGCCAUAUCUCCUGGAACUAAUAAAUGUUGAAGGAAAAGAUGUUUGUAUACAUAGAGUUUUGAAGGUUGAGUGUGAUAUCAAUUCGAGGAUCGAAGAAUUUGAGAUCAACCAUUUCCAAGUCACCAUAUGGGCUGGCGGAAAUUACCCAUCAUGCGCAGACAUUUUACAACUAAGUUAUAUUCUCAGCGCUCAUCAAAAUGAGCAGUUCAAUAAAAAAAUUGCUGUGUAUUGUAGUAAAAAUUUCCAUAAAAGUGGUCUGCUGUGCAUCAUUCACAUUUUGAAAGCUGCAAUAACCAGUCAAUCAGUAAUCAACAUAGUUCGAUUAGUUCGACUGAUCAAAAAAAUUGAACCAAGUAUAGUACCUGACUGUGAAUCCUACGCCUUCAUUUGGAAAAUUGCUGAAUAUUUACAGAACGAAACGUCUCUAUACUCCAAUUUUGUACAGUGAUGUGCAGGAGUGAAUCUUUUUAGAGAUCCGUCAUAAUACGCUUUACAUCUUAUGAAUUAAGAAAUGAUGUAUGCAAAACAAUUACUUAAUUGUUGGAUAAAGAAAACAAAAAGCCUCGCUGGAAUUCUUUGUAUCUCUCAAAGGAAAAGGAAAACCAUUUCAAGAAGAUAAGAAUUCGUCUCUCAAAAUUUAUUUACAUGCUACGGGGAAAGCUUUAUCUUUGUUUACACAUAUAAGCCAACUAUGAGCAUAGUUCGGUAAUAAUACCUUAUGCUAAUUACAGUGGCCAAAAGAAAUUCGGGACACUUUUUCUUCACGAAAUGUCAAUGUAAAUUCAUCAGGAAGCCUUAGAAAGAAUGCGCUGAAUUUAUGGUUUUCAAUAAACGAAAAUAUGUCUCUCCUUGCCUACAAAUAAAUGGUUGAGGUUUUUCUCUCUUAUACAAAUCAAUUAACUUUGAAAUAUAAAUAUUGAUAUCUUGGAAUUAUUACAACUUCUCUUUGAGACUUGGCCACAAUUGGCGAUAAAUUCUCUUUUGUUGUCUCCAGCUGAGAAGAUUAUCAACUAAUUUUUAUUUUUCUGUUGUGUGUAUACAGCAUUCAGUAUAUCACCGGUUAACAUACUUAUCCAAAUCUAUGUCAUUUAAUCUUUUG